rnacentral:rRNA from 1 species
AUUGAACGCUGGCGGCAGGCCUAACACAUGCAAGUCGAACGAGUGGCGGACGGGUGAGUAGUGUCUGGGAACCUGCCUGAUGGAGGGGGAUAACUACUGGAAACGGUAGCUACUAACGCAUAACAUCAGAUGUGCCCAGAUGGGAUUAGCUAGUGGGUGGGGUAACGGCACACCAAGGCGAAGAUCCCUAGCUGGUCUGAGAGGACGACCAGCCACACUGGAACUGAGACACGGUCCAGAAUCCUACGGGAGGCAGCAGUGGGGAAUAUUGCACAAUGGGCGCAAGCCUGAUGCAGCCAUGCCGCGUGUAUGAAGAAGGCCUUCGGGUUGUAAAGUACUUUCAGCGGGGAGGCGUUACCCGCAGAAGAAGCACCGGCUAACUCCGUGCCAGCAGCCGCGGUAAUAC